rnacentral:tRNA from 1 species
GGGGAGUUAGCUCAGUUGGUUAGAGCAUCUGCUUUACACGCAGGGGGUCGGGGGUUCGAGUCCCUUACUCCCCACCA